AUUUAGUUUUGAUUUAUUUAACAAUAUUAGAAUAAAUUAUUUAAUUAUUUUAUUAUUCAUUUCAUUAUUUCUAAAUAAUUAAACUCUUAAUUUAGUUAUGGGUAUCCCUGCACAAGUUGUACCUUCAUAAUUGUCCAAAUUGUCCAUCCAUAUUAGCAUUACAAAGCCCAAAUGCCAAGUCCAUACCUAUAUGCCUUUUAACCAAAAAGAAAAUAAAAAAAAAAGGAAAGAUGAAAACCGAUCUUCAUCUUCACCUCCCUCCUUCUCCUUCGACUGGUCCAAGGCACAAGAACCAAGAAAAAUUCAGCACCUUCCUCCAUCUCCUCCCUUCUUCUUCGUCCAAUUCUCACACUCAACCCAAAAAAUUCAACACAGAAAUCUCACCUUUGUCAGCAAUAAUUGAAUUAGGAGCAAAAAUAUUUUCAAAAACUAAACUCACACAACCACCAUUACAUUUUCUGUCCAAAUCUUCCCUAUAAAUACUGAUUCACUCUCAUCAAAUUUCUCAAGCAAAACACCUCAAAAGACGAGGAAUAUCAAGAGCGCUAAUACGUUCGUGAACUUAACUUUGGGCACGCGUCGCGAGUGAUCCAAGUAGAAGGGGUGUGCACACUAGGGACUCUGUUAUUAUGGCCAUUAUGAUAUCCGUAGGUGGUUACAGGGGAUUGAUCCCGGCCUACAAUGUUAAAGUAAGUGGUUACAGGGGAUUGACCCCGGCUUACUAGCGUUCUCUUUCCUCUCCUUGAAUAACUGGAUUAAUUGAAUUAAUGAUAUGAUUAUUCAAUGUAUAUAUGUGUGUAUAUGCGCUAUGACUUCCAAACUAUUAACUUACUACUUUACAAAGUAUUUUCAACUUAAGUAUUUUACGAGAUGGAGUUGGAAUUACUCAGUUUUUCAGAUUUUUGGGAGCUUGUCUCUCUUGUCUCUUUUCAAUGUAUUUGUGCAGGUGGGUGAUCGAUCGGGGGAACAAAAGGGAGAUCAUUUAGAGUUGUCAUCCACUUAGCAUAUGAUUAGCUUUUGCUGGAACUCUGAAGCACUUAAUUAAUUACUAAUAUUUAAUGAACAAUUCACUAGGUUGUAAGGAAUAAUGAAUUUGAGUUUAGUUUGUUUAUUAACUUAGCCUUGUAUUUAUUUCCAAGGAGAUAAGUGCGGCGGUAGCGCCACCCGUCGGGUCGAACCCUCGUCGAUUUUAUUUUCGACGGGGGUGUUACAAGGCCAUUGAAAACGAACGCUCGACCUUGAAGUGAAAGGGAGAGUCCUAGGUUUGCUAUCUUCUAAUAUAAUCUAAUCCAAGAAUUGGUGGCACUACUCCAGAAUAUGUUGAUGGUGUUAUUUCCUUAGAGUAAAUGGAAAUCCAAGUCCAAUGGCAGUUAUUCUUUCCUCAAAAGGCUUAUCGGUAAUUUCUGAAUGUUUCUUCAAAUACCAGAACAUUUGGGGCCUGUAAUGGACGAGAUUCACCUUUAUGGCGGUGCACAAUUGGUAAGCAGCAGUGGGGUGCAUGGAAAGGGCCUUUGCAGCCAGUGUGUUGCUAAUUUCAUCUUCGUUGUGAGUUUGCAGCCAGUGUGUUGCUAAUUUCAUCUUCGUUGUGAGUUUUUAUUCCCUCGGACAUGGUGAAAUUUAAAAAUUCAAUUGUUGUAUGCGAGUUUGUGGAAAUUAAAUUGGUCUGAAAAGAUUUCGAGUUUUCCUAAAAUUCUGAAAAAGGUUACUAAUGAAGAAAACAACUGAAAAGUAUAAAACGUGCGAGAAGCAUGUCCUUUUUGGAUCAUUUUGUUUAUGGACUAUCUUAAUGCCAAGCCUCAAGAAUUGAAUAGAGGGUCAGAUGAAAGCCUUAAGAUUUUGUAAGCCCAUCCCACUAAAGCCCACUACUAAAACCACCCAGCCCAGACCAUGAAAUCAGUCCAACCCGACCCAUGAACCAGAGCUGCCCAAUCCAAGUAAAUAUUGAACCAAUUUGUUUAUAUUUUAAUCAAAUUGUAUAUAUUCUAAUCAAAUUGCAUAUAUUAUAAUUCAAUCAAAUUUAAAAAUAAUGAAAUUAUUCAUUAAUAUUAAUAUUUGUAUAUAUUUUUAAUUCAUUUUAAAGAUUUUAUGUAACAAUAAUGAAUAAUUUCACUGAUUAAAUAAUUUUGAAAAAAAAAUUCUCAUGUCGGCCCGUCAGCCUAGUCCAGCCCACCAGACCCACGAAUCGUGAAAACCGAUAACAGACCGGUGUGGGACAAGAUUUUUGAGCUCGCAAACCAGCCCACCCAACCCAUGAAUUUCACGGUCCGGUCCUGGGCCGUGAAAUCUCAGCCCAGCCCACGAUCUGGCUCGCCCAGUCCCCACCAGUGGCCAUCAUGGACUCCAUGUUAAAUGAAUAAUUGACUAGGUGGCCCAAACCUGUAAGCAAGCAGUUCGGCCCAUAUUUCAAUUGAAGGGGCGUACUUUUCAAAAGUUCAGGUUUUCAUGAGAUGACAUUUUCCUUAAAAAGGGAAUAACGUAAUGAUACAAAUCACAACUCAUCGCCUGAUUAUUGACCUCUGAUCCCUUCAUCUCCCAAAUUUUGUUUCUCUCUCAAAAAAUUUCAAAUGGCUUCCCAUUCAUCAUCGUCAUCCUCAUGUUCUGAAUUUCCCUCCAUAUAGGAGGAAAGUUCUUUGGAAAUUAACCAGCCUUGGCCACAAGAGCCAGCCCCUCACCCUCCUCAAAUAAUCCAUAUGAGGAGUCAGAGGAUGAGGAAGAAGAGGAGAACUCUUCCUCUGAAGACGAAAGGGGUGACCCUUUUUCAUCAGAGGAGGACGUCCCUGAUGACGCCUCUGAAGAAUCCUCACCUUCUUCACUAGAGAAUUCUGGUGGUGAUGAUGUUGAUGAUGAGGAAGAGGAGGAAGAAGAAGAAUAAGAGGAAGCUUCCCCUUCUGCCCACCAAUGGGAGGAGGAAGAAGAUGAUGAUGAGCUUGUUGCCAAAAGGAGGAGAGUUUUUGGCAGAGGCAGCAACCCCAAAGGGGAUUACGGCAACAGCGACUCCGACGCUGAUUCCGACGCCUUUAAAUAGUCGUCGCCAAUAAAUUAAAUGUAGACCUAGACUUAGGACCCUAGUUCUAAGUUCAUAGUUCAAGAUUCUUAAAAUCUUCAAUUUUAGGUUAUAUUUUAAUUUAUGUUAAUUUUAUAAAACAUAAAAUAUUUUGCCUAUCUUUUGCAUUUUUUGAUAAUUUCAGUAUUUAUUUUUCUUUUAUAUUAUUCAAAUUGUUCAAUUUUUAUGUAAUUUAUUGUUUGCUUAAACAAAUAAUUAAAUUCUAAAAAAUGAAUAAGAUGAACGGUUUAUAAAACAGGCAUAUCAAAUAAUGUAUGACAGAAAUUUAAUUCCCAUUAAAAAAGAGUUAUGCAAUGACUCUUGGGAAACUAAAACUGAAAUUGAUUUGAAGUUGGAACAUGAUUACUCCUAAAGAGUAAUGAUGAGAGUUCCACUUGGACAUGCCAUCAAUAUUACCAAAUUAAUUCUUAAAUGCUGAAAUGCAAAUAUGUUAAGAGUUAAGGGAUAUUUAGUGGGAUAACCAUGUUUGUCCACUUUACCGGCGAAGGGAAAAGAUAAGGGAUAAAAAUAAAAGAAAUUAAGAUAAUUUAAUAACUUAAUUAAUUAUAUGUAAAACAUGACAUUUAGUUAUCCCUUAUAAAUAGGAAUAACUUUUUUAUUCAAGUAGUAUAAAUUGAUCUCUAGUGGUUAAGAUCAAUUCAUUAGUUACUUAAAUCCUUCUCUCCAUACAAAAAACAAUGGCUAAUCCUCAAGUUAAUACUAUUCCUAAUUUUCCUGGAGAAUGUUGGAGGCAUAGAUUUAAUAUGGAUAUUGUUAAAGAAGAUUGGGAAGAGUUUAAGGAUGUUGAAACCAAGAAAUGGCAAGUGAAGAUUCUAAAAUAUAUUGGGGAGGAUCCAAAGAUCCAACAACAAGAUUUAGAAGAAAAAGAGUCUAGCGCCACAAAAAUAGGAAGCGACCUAGACUUUAUAGCGACUAAUCUUUGGCCCCUAUUGGGAAAAGAGGAUUUGCUCAAUUUAGAUGGUAUGCAACGCUUGGGGAAUAAAUAUUGUCAAACAAUUUUUCCCUUUAGAUCUAGCCCCUAAAUACCAUAGAUCAAUUAUCUGUGAGAGUGUCCUAGGUGUUUUCAAAAGGAAAUACCGAAUAGUCCAGUUGGAAAACAACACCAGCUUUAGAAAAUUGAUCCAAUACAAAUGCACUUGUCGCUUAUGGCAAGAGCAUAUAAGGGAUACUGGUUUUCCUAUGCCCUUGAAUGAUGACUACUCAGAUGAUGAUGACCUAGAUGUGGGAGAACACGAAGCACCACAAAUCGUCAUCAGCUUUGCCCAUCUUAGGGUAAAUUAGAAUUUAAUGGAGUAUUGAACAUUAGUUCAUUAAUGCUACUAGGUUUAUGUUAUCAACAAAUUAUAUGUUCGUAGUUUCCUUUAAAUACUAUGUAAUAGUAGGUAAUGAUCAAUAAAAUACGUUUUUAUUUUAUGAUUAAACCUAAAUCAUAUUAUGAUCAGUUUUUCUUUAUACGUACCAAAGUACGUACUUAUAUUCAUAAUACUCAUGCAUUAAACUCAAAUGUUUAAAAGAGUAUAAUGAAUCGAAAAAUUGAAAGUUAAGCCCUAAUAUUUAUAAAAAUGAAGUCAACAUGAGGACUACUAUCAAAUUAGUCAAGUACUUUUCUAAAUUUCUUGAAAAGUAAUUCAAACACUUAAUGAUUAAUCCUAGGAGUUAUUACUAAAAUGACCGUUAUAGGAAAACCGGCUAUUUAAAGAAGUUUGUGUUUAGAGAUAUCACUCAUUAUUUCAUCUCUAAUUUACAAAAUUAGAAAAAACUUUCUCAAUCAUCCUCUGCCCAUUUCAUAAAAAAUUCAAAAAAGAUGGAUUUCAACCAUCAUGAAGAUGAAAUAGGCGACCUUGAUGAAGAUUGUUUCAAUCAUCAUCAAGCUCUAGACAUUGUCCAAGAGGAAAAGGAAGUUUUUAAAACAACAAAAAUUCAACAAUGGAACGCUCAUAUGGCCAGGAUCUUUGGAGAUGAUCCAAUCAUAGAGCCGGAAGAUCCAACGAUGGCAGAGUCCAGCGCUACCAAAGUGGACGCUAACACUGACUUGUUGGCCACUUUCAUCUGGCUAAGACUACUAGAGAGUUCACAAGAUGAACUUUUCUUAGUCUGUAAUAAGUGGGGGAAAGAGAUAUCUAAUACCUUCAACUUUCCAAGACCCCAAACUCUUACUUGGGCCUAUGCCAAGAGUUUAGCCCUAAUAUAUAUGCACCCAGACGUCUGUCAAGGUCAUAAGGAUGGAGCCAUGGCAGGAUGAAUCUGAGGGCAUAGCGGUACACUUCAAGUGUCUCAGCCAAUUAUGGGAAAUCUGGGUCUCGGAGGCUUUUUUUCCCCUGGAUGUAUCUUGCCCUUUUGAAUAGAAGGUACACCUGGGAUCAUACUUACCAAAGGAUGAUCUUCAGGGCAAGAUUUAACUACGUACCUGGAGAUGGCUACUAUUUUGCCAUCAUAAGGUAUGUGGCAGGGUAUAAGAUUGAAGACUACCAUACCAUGGUAGAACUUGUUUGUCGGGACCAUCUUCAGAAGAUUCCCAUUUUAAUUAAAAAUGUAAUAUUUAUCUACAAAUAGAUAAAUGUCAGUUUUUAGGAGAAUUGCUUCUAAAAGCAAUUUCUUAAAUGUAAUGCGAAAUACUAAUUAUUAAUAAAAUAAUUAUGUUUUAUGGUAUUUAAAAUUACCUUGUGUCAUUCGAUGCUUUUUUUUCUCCAACAUAACUGUCUUCUAAUUAAGCGGUUAAGAAAAUGAAUGGUUAAGAAUUCAAAUCUUCAUAUAUAAAUAUGUAGAAGGAAACAACAUAUGUGAAGGUCAGGAGACAAUAUAUUUGAAAAGGUUAGUAAUGAAUUUUACUCAACCAUCAAUAUUUCACCCAACAUCGCCAACAGAUAAACCUUAUCUCUAUAAGUGUUUAAAUCAUCAUAAAGCGUUGGACUUUCUAUCCGGGGAUAAGGAUAAAUUCAUAAGAGAGGAGUCUAUCAGAUGGAAUACUACAAUUGAUAGGUAUUUUGGCAAGAAUCCUAUAAUACAAAAGGAUCCAAAAUAUACAAAUAAAUCUAAGGCCUUUCAAAUAAGGUCAGAUGUAGACUUAAUGCAAGCAUGCAUAUUUCUAAAACUUGACCUCCAAGAUCAGGUUACUUCUUUAUUAGUAUGUAAAGCUUGGGGAAAAGUUAUCAUGGAAGAAGCAUGGGAACGAGAUAUGCCUUGGAGAUACCUAAAAACGCUCUUUGUUAAAGGUAAUACAAAGAGUAUAAAAAUCUCGCGAAUAGUACAAGGAUCAUCUUCAAGAGAUAUAGUACAAUGUACAUGUACAUGUCAAGUGUGGCAUAAUCUUAUGAUCCAAGGUUUAGAUCCCUCUUGGAUACUGCAAAAUCAUCCUUCAGGAUCACAUCUAAAACAAACUUUUCUAAUGGAUUUCACAAUGGCUAGAAGGAAGAAAGAAGGAAUGCAUGAUAGAAUAUUCUUCUCUACUAAAUUUAGCCAUUCUAAGGAGAAAUUUGUUGAUCAUCUUAGAAUUUCAGAGGAAGCAACUUUUAGAAUGCUUCUAAAACAAAUUGGUUAUGGCUAUUGAACUGUCUCAUUAUUGCUCUUUGAUUGCCUAUCCUUAUACUGCCCUUCUCUUUUAUCUCCUAGUGGUCUUGAAAGUCUCCCUUUGCUAAUCUUGACCUCCGUUGACUUCGCUUAAUGGACUUUAUACUCAUGUUGGGUUCUUAUGUUGACGCCAGAUUAAACAUUUUGAGCUUUUACCCAAUGUACCACAAUAAAUGUUACUUAACAUCUAAAAAUGAUAGUAACAAUAUGAUAUGAGAUUGGUUUAAUUUAAAAUUGUUAUUACUGUUAUUUUUAGUGACGACUUUGUAAGGAUUUAUAGUUAGUUCAUAAAGGAGUUUAGAAGGAAUAAGAAGGUCAAUUUAUUUAUCUGAAUCGUAGUGAGAACAGUAGUUAAUUAUUGGUAUCGUUGUUGAGGUAUAAUAUGGAUAUCGAUUUGUGGAGCUUGAAGAAAUUAAGGGAGCUUAAAGUUUUUGAGUUAUUGGAUUUGCAUCUUAAGAAAUUGGUUUGCAAUUGAGGUAACCUUUAUAUUCAGCAAAAUGUAUUUAAGCUCGUGCUUGUGUUAUAUUGUAUUUUGAUAUCGUUUAUAGUCAAGGCCAUGGUUAUAGAUGCAUUUACAUGUGCUGAGUUAUAAAUUUAUAUUGAUUGAUAUAAAGCAUGUUAAGUUUUGUUUUGUUAUUGGAAUUGCUCGAAAAUAUUUAUGUUUCUUGAAAUACGAUUUGAAUAUGAUAAUGAGAAAAUAGUUUCGUAAUUGUUUUAGUUGGCUUAACUUAUGAACUGAUAUGAAUAGUGGGUAAGUUACAGAUGGAGGGAAAUGAUUCAGACAUGAGUUAAGACUAGAUAAGGUCGAAUAUUCUAUUAUGUUAUGUUACGUUAUGUUCUGCCAAAACCUCUACUUGCGAGCAAUUUAUGUUAAGUGAUUAAGCUAUGCCAGCGAUCUAUUUUCAAGGUUGAAUUCUUUUACGAACAAUAUCCAAGUUUGUUAUUAUAUGGAAAACGUUUUCGAACUAAAAUCGUUUUGACGGCUGAAGUGAAGUUAUUGAGCUUUCCGGUCAUUUUAUUUUUGUUUUUGUUUUGUAUAUCCUUAUGUGAUUUACAGGUUCGUGUUGGAGGCUCAGAUUGGAUUAAAGCGAUAAUUUGGUUGUUGAGUAGUAAAUAUAUUAGUGAUUCAGAAUUAGUAAUUGGAAGUAUUGAAGUGCUUUAUGAAUAAAAUAUUAUGUUGUUUUGAGAAUCGGAGCAAAGUACUCUCUAAUCAAAUAUUAGUUUUGAAGUUAUUUGUUGUGGGCCCUGACCCACAGGUCCGGGAUCGUAUAAAAAUAUUUUUUUUCGCUGCAAGAUAAUAUGAUUCGAGGUCUAUUAACUGUUAAUCGAGAUUUGUGUAUUUUAAAUGUAAUUAGCUAGCAGCUCGAAAGUGUGGGCUGUUACACAAUUUGUGGUUGUAUUGAUAUCUGGUAGGCGGAGAAUUCUCUUUAGACGAUUUCUAAGGUUAUUAAAGUGCCCUCACAUAUUGUCUACACAAGGUACGUACAUACCUAUGUGUUGGUGGACUAGUACAUGUCUUAAGAUUAAGAUUGAUGUAGUAUUAUGUAUAGGGAACUAUUUAUGGUUCAUAUGUGAUUUAUAUUCAAGUGGAA